GUACAAGAGGUGGGCGGAAUUCGUGGUGUAGCGGUGAAAUGCUUAGAUAUCACGAAGAACUCCGAUUGCGAAGGCAGCUCACUGGGGUACAACUGACGCUGAGGCACGAAAGUGUGGGUAUCAAACAGGAUUAGAUACCCUGGUAGUCCACACAGUAAACGAUGAAUACUCGCUGUUUGCGAUAUACAGUAAGCGGCUAAGCGAAAGCGUUAAGUAUUCCACCUGGGGAGUACGCCGGCAACGGUGAAACUCAAAGGAAUUGACGGGGGCCCGCACAAGCGGAGGAACAUGUGGUUUAAUUCGAUGAUACGCGAGGAACCUUACCCGGGCUUGAAUUGCAGUGGAAUAUAUUAGAAAUAGUAUAGCCGUAAGGCCGCUGUGAAGGUGCUGCAUGGUUGUCGUCAGCUCGUGCCGUGAGGUGUCGGCUUAAGUGCCAUAACGAGCGCAACCCUUAUCAUUAGUUACUAACAGGUGAUGCUGAGGACUCUAAUGAGACUGCCGUCGU
rnacentral:rRNA from 1 species